AUACGUAGGGGGCGAGCGUUGUCCGGAAUUACUGGGCGUAAAGGGCGUGUAGGCGGGGGUGCAAGUUACCGGUAAAAACCCGAGGCUUAACUUCGGGCUUGCCGAUAAAACUGUAUCUCUUGAGGGUAGGAGAGGGAAUCGGAAUUCCCGGAGUAGCGGUGAAAUGCGUAGAUACCGGGAGGAACACCAGUGGCGAAGGCGGAUUCCUGGCCUACAACUGACGCUGAGGCGCGAAAGCUGGGGUAGCAAACGGGAUUAGAUACCCCGGUAGUCCCAGCUGUAAACGAUGGUCACUAGGUGUGGGUGGUGGUCAAGCCAUCCGUGCCGGAGUUAACGCAAUAAGUGACCCGCCUGGGGAGUACGGCCGCAAGGUUGAAACUUAAAUGAAUUGGCGGGG
rnacentral:rRNA from 1 species